CGUGCCCAGUUGUGGGGGAUAGCCCGGCGAAAGCCGGAUUAAUACCGCAUACGACCUGAGGGUGAAGGCGGGGGAUCGCAAGACCUCGCGCAAUUGGAGCGGCCGAUGUCAGAUUAGCUAGUUGGUGGGGUAAAGGCCUACCAAGGCGACGAUCUGUAGCUGGUCUGAGGGGACGACCAGCCACACUGGGACUGAGACACGGCCCAGACUCCUACGGGAGGCAGCAG
rnacentral:rRNA from 1 species